rnacentral:misc_RNA from 1 species
CGGUGUGAAUAAAAAAAUAUUUGAAAGUUUUGUCGAAUAACUUACUCAUAAACGAAGAGAUUAUAUUUAUUUUUUUAUUUUGGAAUAUUCUGCAACGCUAAUAACGAUAGGUUUAGCUAUCUUUAAUCCUUUAUUAGGGUCGUUUAACAAAAGAUAAAGAAUUAGUUACACUAAUGUUAAGAGAAUUCAAACAAUUGUUCUUAGGAUUGUUAAAUGUGUGUAUGAAAAAAAAAAUUUUUAAUGAUUUCUCUCAACUAAAACUUUACCUGGUGUCAGUUUAUAUUGUUACUAAAAAUUAACACAACUGAAGCUACCGUUACUCCAAUCUCAAUAUUUUUGCCAUUUCAUUUCGCUUAUUGCACAUAUUGAAAAUAUUCAAAAUGAAAGAACAAAAUAUGGGAACACAAAACAGUAACCGGCGGCCGUUUUGCUAUGAAACGACCUCUUUCAGACACCAGCAGACAAUUCGUAAAAAAAAACAAUACUAUAAAAAUAAUUUUAGAAAAGAAGUACAAGGAUAACAUAAUUUAACAUUGCAAGUUCAUUUAAAUGUGAAAAAAUAACAUAAUGCGUUUAUUGUUACCGUAUCAAAUUACAACCCUAAAGAAACUAAUGACAAUCUAGUUGAUUCAACUGUUACCUGCCCAAACAAAAGAUCUA